AUAGUACUCCCUCCGUUCCGAAUUACUUGUCGCACGUAUGGAUGUAUCUAGAUGUAUUUUAGUUUUAAAUACAUUUAUUUCAGCGACGAGUAAUUUAGGACAGAGGGAGUAAUUC
rfam:Triticum aestivum genome assembly, contig: Triticum_aestivum_CS42_TGACv1_scaffold_591843_7BS